UACGUAGGGUGCAAGCGUUAAUCGGAAUUACUGGGCGUAAAGCGUGCGCAGGCGGUUCGCUAAGACAGAUGUGAAAUCCCCCGGGCUUAACCUGGGAACUGCAUUUGUGACUGGCGGGCUAGAGUAUGGCAGAGGGGGGUAGAAUUCCACGUGUAGCAGUGAAAUGCGUAGAGAUGUGGAGGAAUACCGAUGGCGAAGGCAGCCCCCUGGGCCAAUACUGACGCUCAUGCACGAAAGCGUGGGGAGCAAACAGG
rnacentral:rRNA from 1 species